UCCAGAGCACGCCUACUGGGAACAUGC
rnacentral:piRNA from 1 species